ACGGAAGGCAGCAGUGAGGAAUAUUGGUCAAUGGGCGGAAGCCUGAACCAGCCAAGUCGCGUGAAGGAAGACGGUAUUAUGUAUUGUAAACUUCUUUAGCAGGGGAGCAAUAAUCGCCACGCGUGGCGAGAUGAGAGUACCCUGAGAAUAAGGAUCGGCUAACUCCGUGCCAGCAGCCGCGGUAAUACGGAGGAUCCGAGCGUUAUCCGGAUUUAUUGGGUUUAAAGGGUGCGCAGGCGGCUUUUUAAGUCAGUGGUUAAAUCGUGACGCUCAACGUCAUCACGCCAUUGAUACUGGAGAGCUUGAUUGCGGUCGAGGUUUGCGGAAUUCGUUGUGUAGCGGUGAAAUGCAUAGAUAUGACGAAGAACACCGAUUGCGUAGGCAGCAGACCAGGCCGUAAAUGACGCUCAUGCACGAAAGUGCGGGGAUCGAACAGGAUUAGAUACCCUGGUA
rnacentral:rRNA from 1 species